UAAAGUCGGUGCAGUUUUUUUAUCAUUAUGAUUCCCGGCUUUUGGAAUAUUUUUGCAGCACAUUUAAUGAAGAAAUGGAUGCCGAUAAACACCUGGCAAGGUUGACUAAAAAUAAACAGAAACAUCCAAUCAAUAGUUAUGAUUGCACUAAGCGGUUGCUAUGUGGAUGUUUUUUUAUGUUCGACAGCUCAGCAAAGUCUGCGGAUCUGGUUAUGCUUCCUGUACGAGACAGAUCACGAAGCGGUUGCUGACUGACCAGUUGGGGCGAAAAUUUUUGUGGGAAGGACGUAAGAGAAAGUUGACAUUCAGGAACCUUCACCUUGCUGAGUGCAUCAUAAAUGCAGUGCAGAGCUGCCAUAAAUGUGAAGACUUCAAGGUAGAAACCAUGGUCACGGAUUAACUUCGCCACACACCUGCCUGACAUCAGUCAUCUCAAAUGGAACAUUCUGCACCACAGGAGAGAGAGAUGUGAACUGCCUUAAGUGGGCCUUGAAUGCGC